rnacentral:rRNA from 1 species
CCUACGGGUGGCAGCAGUGAGGAAUAUUGGUCAAUGGGCGCGAGCCUGAACCAGCCAAGCAGCGUGAAGGAUGACUGCCCUACGGGUUGUAAACUUCUUUUAUAAAGGAAUAAAGUGCGGCACGUGUGCCUUUUUGUAUGUAUUUUAUGAAUAAGGAUCGGCUAACUCCGUGCCAGCAGCCGCGGUAAUACGGAGGAUCCGAGCGUUAUCCGGAUUUAAUGGGUUUAAAGGGAGCGUAGAGGGGUUGUUAAGUCAGGUGUGAAAGUUUGCGGGUCAACCGUAGAAUUGCAAUGGAUACUGGCAGUCUUGAGUACAGUAGAGGUAGGCGGAAUUCGUGGUGUAGCGGUGAAAUGCUUAGAUAUCACGAAGAACUCCGAUUGCGAAGGCAGCUUA